rnacentral:rRNA from 1 species
AGCGGCGGACGGGUGAGUCACGCGUGAGCAAUCUGUCUCUUCCAGGGGGAUAACGCAUCGAAAGAGGUGCUAAUACCGCAUAAGACCACGACAAGGACAUCUUGAUGAGGUCAAAGGAGCAAUUCGGUAAGAGGUGAGCUCGCGUCUGAUUAGCUAGUUGGUGAGGUAAUGGCCCACCAAGGCAACGAUCAGUAGCCGACCUGAGAGGGUGAUCGGCCACACUGGAACUGAGACACGGUCCAGACUCCUACGGGAGGCAGCAGUGGGGAAUAUUGGGCAAUGGGCGAAAGCCUGACCCAGCAACGCCGCGUGAAGGAAGAAGGUUUUCGGAUCGUAAACUUCUAUCCUUGGUGAAGAUAAUGACGGUAGCCGAGAAGGAAGCCCCGGCUAACUACGUGCCAGCAGCCGCGGUAAUACGUAGGGGGCAAGCGUUGUCCGGAAUGAUUGGGCGUAAAGGGCGCGUAGGCGGCCAGCUAAGUCUGAAGUGAAAGUCCUGCUUUUAAGGUGGGAAUUGCUUUGGAAACUGGAUGGCUUGAGUGCAGGAGAGGUUAGUGGAAUUCCCGGUGUAGCGGUGAAAUGCGUAGAGAUCGGGAGGAACACCAGUGGCGAA